UUAGAGAUUCCGUCACCACCAAAAGAGUUAAACACAGGGACACAUAUGAAGUCUCGGAGCCGGGUGUUGGUUCCGGUAGCGAUCGAGGGAAGUUAGUACCGAAGUCUGAGAUGGAAGAUGGCGAGAAAAGCUGUGUGAAUUUCUGCGGUGCCCGUACCGCAAACCGACACAGGUAGGUAGGAAGAAGAUUCUAAGGCCAACGGGAGAAGGGUUGUUAAGGAACUCGGCAAAUUGACCCGUAACUUCGGGAGAAGGGGUGCUGCAGCAAUGCAGCCGCAGAGAAUCGGCCCAAGCAACUGUUUUACCAAAAACACAGGUUUGUGCUAAAUCGAAAGAUGACGUAUACGAGCUGACGCCUGCCCGGUGCUGGAAGGUUAAGAGGAGAUGUGCAAGCAUUGAAUCGAAGCCCCAGUGAACGGCGGCCGUAACAAUAACGGUCCUAAGUAGCGAAAUUCCUUGUCAGGUAAGUUCUGACCCGCAUGAAAGGCGUAAUGAUUUGGGCACUGUCUCAACAGCCCGCCCGGCGAAAUUGUAGUACCGGUGAAGAUGCCGGUUACCCGCGACAAGACGGAAAGACCCCAUGGAGCUUUACUGUAGCCUAAUAUUGGGUUUCGAUGUUGCAUGCACAGGAUAGAUGGGACACAGGGAAGCAGGUGCUUUGGCGCUUGUGGAGUGGCCGUUGGGAUACCAUCCUUGCGAUAUUGGAAUUCUAACCUGCGCCUUUGAAUCAAGGCGGGGGACAUUGUUAGGUGGGCAGUUUGACUGGGGCGGUCGCCUCCUAAAGAGUAACGGAGGCGUUCAAAGGUUCGCUCAGCUUGAACGGAAAUCAAGCAAAAGAGUGCAAACGCAGAAGCGAGCCUAACUGCGAGACUGACGGGUCGAGCAGUAACGAAAGUUGGAGUUAGUGAUCCGGUGGUAUGUGAGUGGAAAUGCCAUCGCUCAACGGAUAAAAGUUACCCUGGGGAUAACAGGCUGAUCUCCCCCAAGAGUCCACAUCGACGGGGAGGUUUGGCACCUCGAUGUCGGCUCAUCGCAUCCUGGGGCUGUAUUCGGUCCCAAGGGUUUGGCUGUUCGCCAAUUAAAGCGGCACGCGAGCUGGGUUCAGAACGUCGUGAGACAGUUCGGUCCCUAUCUGUCGUGGGCGCAGGAUAUUUGAUGGGAGCUGUUCCUAGUACGAGAGGACCGGAGCGGACGUACCUCUGGCGCACCAGUUGUUCUGCCAAGAGCAUAGCUGGGCAACUAUGUACGGAUCGGAUAAACGCUGAAAGCAUCUAAGCGUGAAGCCGACCCAAAGAUAAGAUAUCCCAUUGUUUCAAACAAGUAAGACCCCUUGAAGACUACAAGGUUGAUAGGCACGAUGUGUAAGUGGAGCGAUCCAUUCAGCAAGCGUGUACUAAUAGGUCGAGGGCUUGAAC
rnacentral:rRNA from 1 species